GGGGCGGCCCUCCGAGGUCUGGUCGCAGUGGCAGAGCCAGCACCACGGGCAGCAGAGCGGUGAGCAGCACUCCCAUCAGCAGCCUGGCCAGACUGAAGUGUUCCAGGACAUGCUGCCUAUGCCAGGAGACCCAACCCAGGGGACUGGCAACUAUAACAUCGAGGACUUUGCCGACCUAGGCAUGUUCCCACCCUUUUCUGAGUAGCUGUGGGCAGAGCAAGGCUCCCUGUGCAGGGCCACCACCGCGCUGUGACAUCGACACCAGCUUGCCCUGCUGCAGGACCCCACCACAGUGCCCUCACCCCCUGCGCACCCCCAGGCAUGGCGCUACUCGCUCUCACCCACAGCUCUGGCUUCUCUGUUGCUACUGACCAGGGCCCUGCUGGACGUCUGGGGCUUGGUUGUAUUUAUUGCAUUUUAUCUGUGUGUGCUCAGGAGGUGAGCUCUCUGGCCCUCACACUCAGCUAUGAAUAGUCCCUUGUAAGCGUGCAUGUACACCAGGAGGAGUUCACUUGAAACUCAGAGCAGCAGCGGGCCUGCCUGGGACUCUGGAAUGGCUUCUGCUUGCUUUUCACACCUGCUAGCUGGUGGCCUGGGGUGGGAUAAGAGGCAGGGAGAGUCAGGGCCUUUGUCACACCCUGGAGCCGAGGAGUGUGGGGACUUGGGGAUGCCCACUGCCCUGCUGCUGUGCCUGUGGGCCCAUUGUGACGUGGAUGUUUGUGCUUUGUGUGGUGAGACACAUGUGUGUGUUUUGUGUGUUGUGCCUCGUGUCUGUUGUGUGUGGCCAGAGUGGGUCGUAGAAUCCAGACCAUAAGGAGGGUAAGAACGAGAAUACGCACCCCCUGCCCCUCCCAGUGCUCAGCAGUGCCCUCACCAAGAAUGCUGGCCCUUCCACAGUGUCACCAGGAGCCGGGGCUGGGGACCUACUCACUGUGAGGGGUCAGUUAUUUGGUCUGUGCCUCUGCUUCAGAACCAAGCUCCUCCAUGCAAGAGAAGCAGCCUUUCCUCCUCUCAGAGCCCCAGGCAUCAUUUACAUCUCUCACUGACAGCAGGGACAGAAUGCCUGGCCUCCUGGGCCAUGUCCUGGAGUGGACAGGAGCAGCUGUUGUGUGGAGAGGGCACCUGAUGCUCUGUCCCCCAGAGGGACACAGAGAGUGCAGGUCUGUGAGGCAGUGGACUGGGCUCCUCCCACAUAGUCUCUGGGGCCCUGAGUCCUCGGUUUACUCAAAACAGGAGUACUGGCUGACUUCCAGAAGCCUCCGCCUGCUGCCCACUUAGCCCAAGGUCCCUGGCUUACUGUGUUUGGCUUUUAUAGUCCCCUGCAUCCUCCUGCACCUUUCCCAGGUGAGGGCUGUCUCCGUCUCCCUUGUUGGCCUCUUUUCCCACCAGUCACCUUGUUUUCCCACUGCCACCCAUCAGCCCUCUGAUGCCCACGUGGGACAGAGGAGCCCACCCUUGGGAGAGCUGUGGUCCCUCCAAGAGUCCCUGCAGACACUGCACAGCACCGUGUCCUUGCCAAUAGGUCCCAGAGGUCAGGAAAAUGAAUGAAUGGAGGAAGCCCAAGUACAGGGAGGAGUAGGGCCGUUGCUCUGGCCCCCUGGGAGCGCUGCCUGGUGCCCAGGCCUUUUGACCUGUCAAAAGCCAGCCUUCCUCAGCAGGAUGCCCUCCCCUGGGACCUGGCCUUCUGUGGUCCCCAUUCUGAGACCAGCUGAGGGCCAGCCCUGAAGUCUGUAGAAGCAGCUUUUAGUCCUCAUGUAGACAGUGGUAAUCGGGUCCUGGGUGUAGAUGCAUGUGUUUGCUCUGUCCUCAGAGGAGCUCUUGCUGCUGGGGAAAUGGGAGUAACCACGGGCAGCCCCAGCUUGGGCUCCUGGUGCCAACCAGCACCCUCUCAGUGCCUAGCGCUGGGCUUGCUCUGGGCAACAAGCAUAAUCUUUCCCCCCAAAAAAGGCAUAAAAAUAGCUUUAGGAGCAAAGAAGUAUUUCUUGGUGAAAGGGAAAUAGACUUGGUGUGGCCUUUAGCUUGUGAGUUUGGAAGGUUCACUUCUGCCCUCUGCAUGUCAGAGGACAGUUGGGGGCACCAGAGAGCAGCCGACUGUGCUGCUGCCCCUGGUGGUCUGUGCUGGACCCUGAGGGAUCUGUAACCAGCAGAGAAAACCUUGCUCCCACCCACCUCCCAUCUGCUUCUCUGACCUCAGCAGUGAAGGAUUCCUGGUCCUGGGAGGCACGGCAUAAGGAGAGUAGUGAUCACCAACCACCAAGGCCUGACCUCCUCCCUCCCUGUCUUGUCCUGGGAGUUGGGCGUGACCAGAGUGGAGUCUGAUGGGUGGGUAUGAGCCCCAUGUCUUUUCUGUCCCCACUCUGCAUUUCAUUGUGAUUCUCAGAAGCCGUCUUGUAGACAGUAAGAAAGUAGAUGAGGAGUGACAGGGAGAAGCCUAGGACUGGGGCGGAGCUCACCAGGGCAUAAGAACACACCCCUGAACUGGGCUUAGUGACCUGGUUUGGAAAAGAAUCCCCCAUACCCAUCUGGCUGGCCCAGGAGGCCAUGGUGCUGGUGGGCCCUGAUGUCUGCUUGGCCUGCAGCCCGUGCCCAGCCAGGCCCCCUCCCUGCCAGAGACGGGUCAUUGCCAGAUGAGAAAGGGGAGGCAUGGGGCUUCCUGUAGCAGUGAGUUGGUUCCUGUCUCCUGGAUGUUCCCCAGCUUCUCCUCAGGCUGAGGGUCCCACCGUCACUGCCAUCAGCGACAACAUACUGAGGCGCCACCAGGACUGGCCAGUAAUGGUGAUAGUGGCUGGGAAGGUUCUAGAACACGCUGCCUGCAUGUCCCUCUGCUCUGGCUUUGUUGUUAGCUCUGUUCGGGGAGCGAGAGGCCAUCACAGGAGCCACGUUCUCCUUCACUUCCCAACAUAUCAGGUUCAGCCCUCUGGUUACUUCAUUACUAGAGAACAGUGCCGUGGGGAGGGGAGGUGCCAGUCCCUAACAGCUUACACUGGGGUCUGCUGCAUCAGUACAGCGAUUAUGUCCCCAGGUUAGCCACACCUGCCAGUAUCAGUUCUCCAAACAGCUUGGCACAGGAGGAGGCAGGCCCCAGGCAUUGAGGAAGGCUCGCUGUCCCACACACAAGGGCCAGCCAUGAGCUGUGUGCAAACCAUGCCUGCUCACCCAUGAGGGCCAUCUGCUCAUAACAGUUAUCACCUGUCACUUAAACAGGAACCAGCCAGGUGGCCAGUGAUAGAACAUAUGCGCUCUUUGUAUUACUGGAAAGGGGGCUGGUCAGGAUGUUGCUGGUCCGAACCUCUGCUAGGAGUCCAGCUUCCCCAUCCCUACUGGAUCUCAUGCACCAGGAACCAUAAGCACCCUCAUGUCUGCCUGCACCGCUGCCUGGGGUCCAGGGGAACUGGAAGAGGUGCCACACAGGGCAUGCGCACAUUUUCACACCGCACACCUGGGUCUCAUGGCCAGAGCUGCUUUAUGGUCCAGAAACCAGCCAAAGCCCAGGGGCUACCAACUAGCAAAACCCAGGCUUGACAGGCUGGGCAGGAGCAGAGCAGCUUGCUUCAUCUAACAAUCAGUUUUCUUAAAAGAUCUCACAAGCAGGUUUCAGUGAACAACAAGCACUUAAUCAUCUCUCUCUUAACCUUUCUUCUUAUGGAUGUGAACUGUGCUGUGGAUAAGUCAUUGUUUGUAAUUCUUGAAUGUUCUCCAUGACUAACAGUUAUUAAGUCGGUGUGUAUAUGUAUAACUAAUGUAACUGCCUCUGAAAUUUUCAGUAAAAUAAAAAUGACUUUGCUCUGAACCCUAAACCCCCAGGCCGGCUUUAUAAUGGACCUGCUCAUGGAACCUGCCCCUCGGGUUUGGGGACAUCUGGCAUUGCACCCUUCCUUAGGGUCACACUGUGUCAGAGUCACUCAUAGGUAUUAACAGGCCACCUUUGGGACUCUAGUGACCUAGGAUAGAAGAGAAAACACAAUUCCUGAGCUCCUGUGUAAGGCAAGGCUCUUUAGGAAUGUCUUUAC
ensembl:lncRNA